rnacentral:lncRNA from 1 species
GGAGAAGGUCCCUGACAGCUUGAGAUGGGCAGGAUCUGAGACAUCAGUCUUGGCUGGAUUCAGAGGGCUUUUUCCCAGCUUGCCUGUGUACUCUGAGCUCAGAGAAUGGCCAACACUCCACUCAGAUGCCCUUUCCAAUUGCACUCCCUCUAGGUUUAAUCCUCAUUAACCCAGCCUUACCCCAUCCAGGAUGGACUUGGUCUCCUCUGCCCUGGCACCUCCAGGACAAGCCUCAGCCCUACCAACUGCCUACAGCUCCCACCCUCUGCUGAGGGUGCAAAGAUGUCGCUGUCGGGUUGGCUCUGAAACAUCAAGAUAAGGAAGGCAAAGAAAUGAUGGGGAACAGGAGGACCACAGGGGCUAGAUCUGCCCCUUCUCUCUCAAACAUCCCACAGCCCAAAUACCUGUCAAAGCCCCUUCCAGUGGGAAUCUUUCCUUCCCCAAUACCACCUUCUAGCAAGUUCAAUAACCUCAUAUUUACAUCCUUGAUAAAACUCUUUUAAAGUCUGUUGACAGUUUCCUUUGGUUCAGACAAAUGGCCCCCAGUUUUUUCUCUUCUCAUUUUACAGUGCUGAACUGUCACUCAGAGGGAAGAUAGCCAAGUCCAUUUCCACCUAUUGGUCAGAUUCUCUCUCAAAAAUAAUUAACUUAGAUCAUUUGUGGAAUGAAUCUGCAUUUUAAAAAAUUAAGAGAUACCAAAUGACAUUUGCAUAGUGCUUUACAAAAUGCUGUAACUUUUAUAUUUUAUUUGGUUUCCCUGAUCAUUCUUGGAAUUCCCCCCAGUUCUACAGAAGAACAGUAAAUGUCAUGAAUCAAGACCUGAGCUC